rnacentral:ncRNA from 1 species
UGUCUCAUCCACCCUCCUCCAAUCGGUGGAUUUGGCGCAAUCUCAACAGGUUGCGCCAUUUUUU